rnacentral:rRNA from 1 species
AUUGAACGCUGGCGGCAGGCCUAACACAUGCAAGUCGAACGAGUGGCGGACGGGUGAGUAAUGUAUGGGAAACUGCCUGAUGGAGGGGGAUAACUACUGGAAACGGUAGCUAAUACCGCAUACUAUCAGAUGUGCCCAGGUGGGAUUAGCUUGUUGGGGGGGUAACGGCUCACCAAGGCGAAGAUCCCUAGCUGGUCUGAGAGGAUGACCAGCCACACUGGAACUGAGACACGGUCCAGACUCCUACGGGAGGCAGAAGUGGGGAAUCUUGCACAAUGGGCGAAAGUCUGAUGCAGCCAUGCCGCGUGUAUGAAGAAGGCCUUCGGGUGGUAAAGUACUUUCGGUAGGGAGGCGUUACCCGCAGAAGAAGCACCGGCUAACUCCGUGCCAGCAGCCGCGGUAAUAC